AACGGAGGAUGCUAGCGUUAUCCGGAAUGAUUGGGCGUAAAGCGUCCGCAGGUGGCCGUUCAAGUCUGCUGUCAAAGACCGGGGCUUAACUUCGGAAAGGCAGUGGAAACUGAACAGCUAGAGUAUGGUAGGGGCAGAGGGAAUUCCCGGUGUAGCGGUGAAAUGCGUAGAGAUCGGGAAGAACAUCGGUGGCGAAGGCGCUCUGCUGGACCAUAACUGACACUCAGGGACGAAAGCGAGGGGAGCGAAUGGG
rnacentral:rRNA from 1 species